AUUGAACGCUGGCGGCAGGCUUAACACAUGCAAGUCGAGCGGAGAUGAGGUGCUUGCACCUUAUCUUAGCGGCGGACGGGUGAGUAAUGCUUAGGAAUCUGCCUAUUAGUGGGGGACAACAUUCCGAAAGGAAUGCUAAUACCGCAUACGUCCUACGGGGGAAAGCAGGGGAUCUUCGGACCUUGCGCUAAUAGAUGAGCCUAAGUCGGAUUAGCUAGUUGGUGGGGUAAAGGCCUACCAAGGCGACGAUCUGUAGCGGGUCUGAGAGGAUGAUCCGCCACACUGGGACUGAGACACGGCCCAGACUCCUACGGGAGGCAGCAGUGGGGAAUAUUGGACAAUGGGGGGAACCCUGAUCCACCCAUGCCGCGUGUGUGAAGAAGGCCUUAUGGUUGUAAAGCACUUUAAGCGAGGAGGAGGCUACUGAGACUAAUACUCUUGGAUAGUGGACGUUACUCGCAGAAUAAGCACCGGCUAACUCUGUGCCAGCCGCGCCGUAAGAC
rnacentral:rRNA from 1 species